UACGGGGGGGGCAAGCGUUGUUCGGAAUUACUGGGCGUAAAGGGCUCGUAGGUGGCCAACUAAGUCAGACGUGAAAUCCCUCAGCUUAACUGGGGAACUGCGUCUGAUACUGGAUGGCUUGAGUUCGGGAGAGGGAUGCGGAAUUCCAGGUGUAGCGGUGAAAUGCGUAGAUAUCUGGAGGAACACCGGUGGCGAAGGCGGCAUCCUGGACCGACACUGACACUGAGGAGCGAAAGCCAGGGGAGCGAACGGG
rnacentral:rRNA from 1 species